CCCUUAGAUGUUCUGGGCCGCACGCGCGCUACACUGAGCCCUUCAUCGAGUUUACAACCUUGGACGGUAGGUCUGGGUAAUCUUCUCAAAGGGGCUCGUGCUGGGGAUAGAUUAUUGUAAUUUUUAAUCUUCAACGAGGAAUUCCUAGUAAACGCAAGUCAACAGCUUGCAUUGAUUACGUCCCUGCCCUUUGUACACACCGCCCGUCGCUACUACCGAUUGAAUGGCUUAGUGAGCCCGAGGGACUGUUGCACCUAGAGGGUUUUCUCUCCAGGAGCAGCCGGGAACUCGGUCAAACUUGAUCAUUUAGAGGAAGUAAAAGUCGUAACA
rnacentral:rRNA from 1 species